rnacentral:rRNA from 1 species
CGCUGGCGGCGUGCCUAACACAUGCAAGUCGAACGGAGCACCUUCGGGUGCUUAGUGGCGAACGGGUGAGUAACGCGUGAGGAACCUGCCUUUCAGUGGGGGACAACAGUUGGAAACGACUGCUAAUACCGCAUAAUGCUAUCGGACCGCAUGAUCUGAUAGCCAAAGAUUUAUUGCUGAAAGAUGGCCUCGCGUCUGAUUAGCUAGUUGGUGGGGUAACGGCCCACCAAGGCGACGAUCAGUAGCCGGUCUGAGAGGAUGAACGGCCACAUUGGGACUGAGAUACGGCCCAGACUCCUACGGGAGGCAGCAGUGGGGAAUAUUGGGCAAUGGGGGAAACCCUGACCCAGCGACGCCGCGUGAAGGAAGAAGGUCUUCGGAUUGUAAACUUCUGUCAACAGGGACGAAGAAAGUGACGGUACCUGUGGAGGAAGCCACGGCUAACUACGUG